rnacentral:rRNA from 1 species
UACGUAGGCAGCAAGCGUUGUUCGGAGUUACUGGGCGUAAAGGGUGCGUAGGCGGUCCUAUAAGUAUGGUGUGAAAUCUCCCGGCUUAACUGGGAGGGUGCGCUAUAGACUGUGGGACUAGAGUGUGGGAGAGGAAAGUGGAAUUCCUGGUGUAGCGGUGAAAUGCGCAGAUAUCAGGAAGAACACCCGUGGCGAAGGCGGCUCUCUGGGACGGUACUGACGCUGAGACGCGAAAGCGUGGGGAGCGAACGGG